UAAAUAGGUGACACAUGGUAGAAUAGAAAUGAGUUAUAAGUAAAAUAACAUUCUUCUGCUUAUGUUUUAUUGAACAAUUUUAUUCAAACAACGUUCAGUAAUGAAUAUAAAACAUAUGUUUGCGCUCAUAUGUUUUAAGUCAUAAAUGACUCUACUACUACAACUAUCAAAGUUUUCACACUGCGGGGUUUUAAAAUUGACCAUUUCUUAACGAUUUCACGCAAGUCAAUUUCAUCUACUUUAUCCUUCGCAGAAUACAGCAGCAUUAACGAAUUCAAGCGAUAAUCUCUCAUUGUUGUCCGCAAAUCAUUCAAAACUAAUUUCAGUUUGCUGAAAGAGCGUUCGCAGGAAGCCGAUGACACUGGAGCAGUCAUGAUAUAACAAACAAGCUUGUAUGCGAGGUGGAUAACGCCUCUCAACUUGAACACUACUUUGGAAAUAUCUCCAAAAUUUGUACAUUGAUCACAUGAUUCGAGAAGAAUUUGCAACUCAGCUAGCAAGCAUUCUGGUUCUUCUUUGAAUAAUGGAAUUGAAAAAUUUUUUGAAUUAGCAUCAACAUCGAAAAAGUCUGUUUGAGAUUGUCUUUGAUACAACUGUUGAAAACUUGCAGCACAGAUCUAAAUUAUUUUCGAUAAAAUGUAAUGAAUUCAAAGUUGGAAGCUGUUUCUGGAAUUUCAUCAUAUCUUCUUGGUACACGGCGCGUUCUAUGAUGCUUUACAAAAUCAUUUUGCAAAUAAAACUGAGCUGCUAAUCAAUGCAUUAAUUUCAAUGUCAUCGUCCAUUUUUUCAAAUGACGCUGAAGUACUUUUAAUCAACAACACAGCAUCGAUGACAUUCAAUUCU